AUUUUGUCAUGUAUGCCCUAUCACAGGAGGUUACAGGAGUGCGAAUCCCACUGCUCUGCAAUUUGGAAAGCAAAACUACCUCUACAUCAUUUACAAAUACCAGUAACAAAAUCAAUGAAAAUUGAUGGCAAACAGCCAGGGAUGACAAAGAGCCUUCUAUUGAUUUGGAGGAUUGUGUAACAGAGUACAACAUUUAGUCAAUGCGUCAUUUCCUGGUUAUCAGCUACAAACUGAAUCCCUGAAGAGCUGCAAUAAUCGUGUCAUGGUUAUUAAUCCUACUAUUCAAAGUGAUCAGGCGCCAAGGGCACGCAGCUCAUAGACAGUUGAUGCUCAUAUUGAUGGUGUUGUCAAUAAAUAAAAUUGCCAAAAUUUGUGGGAAAUAGUAUAAUCGUAAAGUAGCACCAAGCACUGUCUGUAAUUUCAAAGCUCUAAACUGUA